rnacentral:rRNA from 1 species
UACGGAGGGUGCAAGCGUUGUCCGGAUUUAUUGGGUUUAAAGGGUGCGUAGGCGGCCCGUUAAGUCAGUGGUGAAAUCCCAGGGCUCAACCCUGGAACUGCCAUUGAUACUGACGGGCUUGAGUUCGGUUAAGGCGGGCGGAACUGGUGGUGUAGCGGUGAAAUGCAUAGAUACCACCAAGAACCCCGAUCGCGUAGGCAGCUCGCUGAGCCGAAACUGACGCUGAGGCACGAAAGCGUGGGGAGCGAACAGG